rnacentral:ncRNA from 2 species
GUACAAAAACAGGGGAGCUUGUGAUAGCGGGCUGAGAGGAAGUAAGACAACUUCGACCCUUUACCUGAUGCGGAUAAUGCCGCCGUAGGAAGUCAGAGUUGAUUUUUU